AUCCAGCUGACGAGUCCCAAAUAGAACGAAAGCUGGAUUCAAGCUGGAU
rnacentral:hammerhead_ribozyme from 1 species